rnacentral:rRNA from 1 species
GACGAAGGGGGCUAGCGUUGCUCGGAAUUACUGGGCGUAAAGCGCACGUAGGCGGUCUUUUAAGUCGGGGGUGAAAUCCUGGAGCUCAACUCCAGAACUGCCUUCGAUACUGGAAGACUCGAGUCCGGGAGAGGUGAGUGGAACUGCGAGUGUAGAGGUGAAAUUCGUAGAUAUUCGCAAGAACACCAGUGGCGAAGGCGGCUCACUGGCCCGGUACUGACGCUGAGGUGCGAAAGCGUGGGGAGCAAACAGGG